rnacentral:lncRNA from 1 species
GAUCCUGUUACAGAUGGUUGUGAGCCUCCGUGUAGUUGCUGGGAAUUGAACUCAGGACCUCUGGAAGAGCAGUCAGUGCUCUGAACUGCUGAACCAUCUCCCCAGCCCUGCAUGACUACUUUAUAUUUAUUGGAAAGGAAAGCCAAUUAAACUGACUAGGAUUCCAUAUUGCUUAUUGAAAAGACUUUUAAAAAUAAAUGCAAACACCCAUUGCUGGACCCUGUGAGCUGCCUUGCCAGUGAGCCUUCUCUCCAGCCCAGCCCACUUCAGCUCCAUCCAUAAGUGCAUUUGAAAACAGGCUCCUCACUUUGUAAAACAUUAUUUAUUUAUUUAUUUAUUUAUUUAUUUAUUUAUUUAUUUGUUUGAGUGGGUACACGUUCAUGGCAUAGUUCAGAGGGUAAAUUUUGAGAGUCUGUUCUUCCCUGCAGAGUAAGCCCUGGGAGUCCAACUCAAGUUACCAGACUUAGCAGCAAUCACCUUUACCCACUGAGCCAGUUCAGCUGCCCUUGUGUGUGUGUGUGCACGCGCAUCUAGGUGUUUUGCCUUAUUAUACUCUGUAUACCACAUUCACAAUGUGCCUGGGCAGGCCAGAAGAGGGUCCUCUAAUCCCUUGGGAUUGGGAUUUCAGACAGCUAUGAGCCACCAUGGAGAUGCUGGGCUUCAAACCCAGUGCCUCAUAAGAACUGAACCAUCCCUCCAGCCUCCUGCCUCUUUUUUUUCCCCUCUUUGAGGCAGGGCGUUACUGUGCUGUGCAGACCCUGAGCUCACACUAGUCCAGGACGAACUUGUGACUGUCCUGCUCCAGUGCCCCACACAGCAGGGAUUGCAGUCCCGUGCCACCAGGUCAGGCUUGCAAAUACAUCUCUGACAUCAGUCACUUUAGCUCGCCUAUAACACGGAGGAUGUGGAUAAAAUGAAAGUUCUCUUAAAACUGUAUCCCAUUCAGGAAGGAGCCGUUCUCUCUUGUGCUUAGUGAGUGUUGUUCUGAGCUUCGUCUCCCCAAACCAAAAAGAAUUAAGUAAGAGGAAAAAGCUUUCUCAUGUUCGGAGUCUGGUUCCUGGAAUCAUUUUUAAACUCUGUACUGCUGGCGCCCGACUUUUGUGCAGAUCCCCUGAACCCUCGAGAAGACGGAUGAAAUUUGUGAUCGGACAUCUCCGAAGUGCACUGUACAAUAUAAACUGCCCAUUGCUGGGUAAAAAGUUGUCCCAAACUUAACAGUUUUGACAGCAAACAUUUUAUUCUCUAAGGGGCAGGAGCACAGGAGUCUUAACUGCCUGGUUCUGGCUCAUCAUGGCCUCUUGUGAAACUGUACACAAGUUGUCCUGCCCGGUGCUGGAGAAUCUCCAAGGUCAUUCCUGUGGCUGGUGGCAGACCUCAGUUCCCUGUUGGCACUGGCUGGGUGCCCGAGGUUCUCACAGUUUCUACAGAACUGUUUCCUCAUGAUGGAAAUCCUGGCCCCAUUCAAAAGGUUGAUGCUGAGUCAGGACUAAGACAUCACAGUUAGUAACUGUCCUUUGAGACAUCAGGAACGCCAGGAAAGUCUGAGGGGUUUUAUUGCUGCAACAAACCACCAUAACCAAAAAGCAAGCUGGAAAGGCUAGGGGUUCUUGGCUUAUAUUUCUACAGCACUAUUCAUCACCAAAGGAGGGCAGGACAGGAACACAAAGAGGGCAGGAACAUGGAGGCAGGAGCCGAUGCAGAGGCCAUGGAGCGAUGCUGCUUAUGGGUUGCUUGUAAUGGCUUGCUCAGCCUGCUUUCUUUUUAUUUUAUUUUAUUUAUGUAUUUAUUCAUUUGUUUGUAGAACCCAGAACCCAAGGAAAAGGCUGGGACCUUCCACCUAAAUCACUAAUUAAGAAAAAGCCCCACAUUUGGACCCUAUGGAGACGUAUUCUCAAUUGGCAUUCCCUUCUCUCUGAUAAUUCCAGCUUGUGUCAAGUUGACAGAAGACUAGCCAGCACAGCUACCAAGUUCACACAUACAGGAAGGGUCGCUGACUCAUGGGGUCGUCUAGAUGACAUAUUAAGAUGCCACUGAAUGUAAGAUAUACAACAAUUUUUAAAGUGCUAAAAAGGAAACCAGGUGUGGUUGCCCACACCACAGGACACAGAGGGCUGUUGCAGGAGGAUUGCCACAAGUUUGCUGACAGGCUAGGCUACAAAGGAGUUCCAAGCUAGCUUUGGCUGUAGAAUAAGACCUUGUCUUAGAACAAAUAAAGAAAAACAUGUGCUGGAAUGUAAAGCUGAGAGUUGGUGAGACGGCGUGUCCCAGAAGCCUGGAGCAUCCGGGUUCCCAGGUCUAUCUUUGUGCUCUGACACCGUCUCUGGGUGGUUCCUCUGAGGGUCACUGUGUUAGCCAAUUUUUAUCAUCAUGACAAAAUCUCAGAGACAAAUGAUUGAGAGGAAGAAAGAUUCAUUUGGGUUCCUAAUUUCAGAGCCUCCGUGGUAACUCAGCUAUGGUAACUCGGCUGGGUCGUUUCUAGGUGAGUUACAGUGAGGAAAAGCACGACUGUGUGUGCUGAAGCUUUACUUCACAGGCAGUGAGAGUCAGGAGGAGGCCAGGGCCAGGGCAUAUCCCCAGUGGCCUGUCUCCUCUACUUUGUAAAACCUCUUCAGCUAUGGUCAGGGUUCCAUGAUUCAGUCACCUCUCAGAACUGCCACCAGCUAGGUCCAGGCCGUCAACACACGAGCCUUUGGGGGUAUACUUCACAUUCAAACUGUAACCAUGACAACGUGGCUGGGGUAGUUCUGCUCAUGAUGUGUGUAUCCACGAUUCUUUCCAAGAAAACCCCAGCAUCUCCUUGAGUUAGGCUCACUUGGAUGUAUUAGCUGACUUGGGCUGAUGCUUUAAAUUCUUUCUUACACAAAAGAAAUCUGAAGGUGGAAGUGUUGGGAUGGGAACCCCACCAGCACCCAGGAGCUGACAUCACAUGAUUUAACUCUCAAAUCUACAUUCCAAAGGGCCUGUUGGAGCUCCAGAUCUAUGUUGUCACCCAAAGUGGGAAAAAUGGAAGGAGCAAAGGCUGCCCCUCCCCAGGGGCCACUCUCCUAACAGCUCUGCUAUCCUGUGGCAUGGCUUGCAGCCACCAUCUCCUUCUUCUCCUACAUUUAGUGUGCAUGCCUCAUGUGGGGGGGAGGGGUACUCAUGUCUGUGGCAGUGUGUAUGCCGUGUGUGUGUGUGUGUGUGUGUGUGUGUGUGUGUGUGUGUGUGUGUGCUUGUUCCUGUGGAAGGGUACAUGCCUCUGUGUGUGUGUGUGUGUGUGUGUGUGUGUGUGUGUGUGUGUAUGUGUGUGUGUGUUCAUGCCUGUGGAAGUGUGCAUGACUCAUGUGUGUGUGUGUGAGUGUGUGUGUGUACGCUUGUUCCUGUGGAAUUGUGCAUGCCUCGUGUGUGUGUGUGUGUGUGUGUGUGUGUGUGCUUGUGCCUGAGGAAGGGUGCAUGCCUCUGUGUGUGUGCUUGUGCCUGAGGAAGGGUGCAUGCCUCUGUGUGUGUGCUUGUGCCUGAGGAAGGGUGCAUGCCUCUGUGUGUGUGUUCAUGCCUGUGGAAGUGUACAUGCCUCAUGUGUGUGUGUGUGUGGUGCUCAUGCCUGAGGAAGGGUGCAUGCCUCGUGUGUGUGUUCAUGCCUGUGGAAGUGUACAUGCCUCAUGUGUGUGUGUGUGUGUUCAUGCCUGAGGAAGGGUGCAUGCCUCGUGUGUGUGUGUGUGUGUGUGUGUGUGUGUGUGUGUGUGUGUGUGUUCAUGCCUGAGGAAGUGUACAUGCCUCGUGUGUGUGUGUGUGUGUGUGUGUGCUCAUGCCUGUGGAGUAGAAGGACAACAUUUGGAGCCAGCUUCCCCUACCAUCACACAUGGAUUCUGGAGUCAGAACUCAGGUCGCCAGGCUUGAUAGCAAGUGCUGAGCCGUCCUACACACCCAACCAUCUCCACAGCACACAUUUCCAUUCGCUAAGGCACAAAAGAGGAGACUGUAUGCAGGGGUCCACAGUGUCCUUCACUGUCCUCUCUGGAGGGCUAGGAUGACCAGCAGUAAUAGCAACGUGUGGCCAUUGCUCCUGGAAAGAAAACACAGACUCCACUCCUCAAAGUGAACCUUCCAUGAUGAGGGUAAGUCCCCAAGCAGUUACCCUGGGUCCGCCUCCUCUCUCCUGAUCUGCUUCAAACCCUGGCCACCAUGUUCUUUAGUGGAAGCUGGGUCCCUACCCCACCUCAGAUAAAUGUUAAUCUCUCUGAGGACCUCCGUGAAAUCCAAUCUCUGCUAGUACCUGGCCCACAGGGGAAUCCGAGGUAUGCUUUGGGCCUGAGAGACACAGAGGAAGUUCUUUGGAAAAUGUUUGGAGAUCUUCUCAGGCCAGAGGGAACUUCUGCUUCUCCUGCCCUCUGAUCACUGCUACCUUCCUGAGAUGUCUGAAACUGCAGCAUCUACCACGUGAGUUUCAGAAAUGCCAGUCAGAGACACGGCAAAAACCAACAUGGAAAGGGUGGUAGAGAAUGCGGCGGGAGAGCCCCGGGAUGGAAUCCUCCGUGGAUCAAAGUGGAUUCGACAGAGCAGAGGAACCUCAAGCCAGUGUCUGAACCCAGAAGGACAGGCACAAAACAUGGCAUCCAAUACCAUCCUGUAAUAGAAAGAACACACAAAGGCCCCUAGAGGAACAGAGAAGAGGCCGGCAGUUACCUAUGAUGAGAGCAAGGAAGAGACCAAACACUGAAAACACAGAGGACUUCCUGAGGUCAACUCUACUUCUUGAUGGUUACAGUUGGCUCACCAGGCACAAAUUUGUCAAAAUCCAUUAUUUUCUCAGUCCGUGUUUUGUCCACCAUGUAAAUUAUUUUUAUAAAGUUCUUGAUGAGGGAAGAGAGAGGGAGAGAGAGCAGUCAGGAAGGCCUUGCCUUAUAAGCAUAAGAACCUGCAUUAACCAUCAGAACACAGCUAAACACCAAGAAUGGCUGCACACUCGUGAUCUCGAUGCCAUGGGGGAGAAAACCAUAGCAUCCUUCAGGGCUCAGUGGCCAGCAGCCUAGCCUACCUGCUGAGCUCUGGACCAGUGAGAUAUCCUGUCUCAAAAGGGGGGCUGGAGAGAUUGCUCAGUGGUUAAGAGCACUCACUGCUCUUCUGAAGGUCCUGAGUUCAGUUCCCUGCACCUACAUGACAGCUCACACCGGUCUGAUGCAGUUUUCUGGUGUGCAGAUAAAAUACCCAUAGACAUAAAAUUAUGUAAACAAAUACAUCUUUUGAAACCUAAAAAAGGUAGAUGUCAGCUGAGGAACAACAAUUCAAGAUUGUACUCUGUACACACACACACAUACACACUCAUGCACAUACUCACACACACUCACACAUACACUCACACACACUCACACACUUACACUCUCACACGCAUACAUGCACACACACACAUGCACAUACUCACACAUCGCACACAUACACUUACACUCAUAUACACUCACAUACUCAUACACACACUCUCACACACAUACACGCACACACACACACACACACAACACACAUUUAUAUACAGAACAAAACAUGGCAUUUUAAGAAAACAAUGAAGGGGGCAGGGAGAAAGCUAAUAUGAGUCCUCCUGUCUCAGCCUCCUGAGUAGCUGCUCUAACGCCUCACCACCUCACACAAGAACACAAGAAACAAACAAAGGCUCUUGGCAGGUUCAUGGCAACACUGUAAGCCCCUGAGUUAGGCAGCAGCCUCUGCCCAGGUCUUCUUGUUUGGUGACAAAUUCACUCAAUAAACCAUUUUUAAGAAGUUAGGUCUUGGUGGCAUGAGCCUUUAACGCUAGCUAGCACUUGAGAUGCCUUGUGAGGCAAAGGCAGGUGAAUCUCUGUGAGUUCCGAGCCAUGGGAGAUGCUGCAGGGUAGGCAAGGAGGCGAGCCUGGGACCGAGGCUUUCCAGAUCCAGUGUGAGGAGGACUCUUGUAUCUGGGUCUCUGCGACCAGUUCCUCUGGAAGCAUCUCUAAGAGCUAGAAACAUUUCAGCGAUCCUGAACAGGCUUGCCAGGCCUCGGCCACCAGACCCAACCUGAAGGAGGAAAGUUGAGAUGUGAAGCCUCCACAGGCGAGGGCAGGAACAGAAGCUCAUCAGCUCUGUUGCUCACAGGUCAACUUGACUCAACUCGGUCACCAGAGGUAAGGGUGGACAGCCAGGCACUUGUCCCUCAGCCCUCAGGAGUUUCAGAAUUACAGAUACUAUGGACCAGAGGGUAGAGCCAGGUAUGGCCUCCCCAUCCUGUGGCCGCCCUUGUCUUCCCUAGGCACCUCUUGGGGUUGCAAGGCCACCCCAAUGUGUGGGGCAACGCGGGUUGGACAGGUUCGCAUGAAUCAAUGAACCCAACUGUCUAGUGUCAUGCCUGGCACACAGUAGGUGCUCAUCAAACGGGGUAAGAUCCUCCUCUGCCUUUGCAGCAGCCUCAUGCUGAUCUGCUGCAGCAGGUUUUCUGAGCUUCCCCUUGCUGUAUCCUGUUUGUGGCGGUAGAGUGACUGCAGAGGAUUUCCUCUCCUUGUCCCUCCCUUCCUUCCAGUACCUACUCUGCCCUACUUCUUCCAGGAAGCUUUCCCUGACUGCCAAGGUCUGGGUGACCUCUCAACUCCACAUUCCCUUCACAGUUGGAUUUCAGGCUCUCCCAGCCCAGUUCAGAUGAGACCUGCACCAUAAGGCUACUGGCCUCACGAAGGAAAGGCUACCCUCUCUCACCACAUGCCCACUCAUUGCAGACGGCCUUGAUGGGGGUUGGGGGAGUGAGGAGGAGGCCACCUGCCAGAGUGGCAGCAGACAGGCCAGCUAAAUCCUUGACCUACGCUUUAAGAGGUCGGGCAUAGUUCAAUAGAGCACUCCAGGCUGAAUCCCAGCUCAUUCACCCAGGUCGAGGGGGAUGAGGGAUAGAGGAGGAGGGUACGAAAAGGGAGGAGGGCCUUCUCUUCCAAGAGCUCGGUGCCUUCAUCCCUGGCUUUCUGAGCACUGCGGAGCACCCUGAAACCCACACUCCCAUCCCCCAGCAGUGCAGAAGCGGAGGGCGGGCGGAGGCAGAAAGGAGGGAAGCCAGUGCCUGGAACGGGAAUGAGGGUUCAACACAGAGCCUUUUACGAGCAGAGUCCUUUCCUUUGUUGAGACAGGGAUUUCAGCUCUGCUCAGGUCCUGGCUGGCCCUAGACCAGCAUCAUUUUUGUAAUUUUCUCCUACUUAGAUCCAACUAGGGUAGAGAGGAGGUCCCCGGAACCGCGGGAUGGUUGGAUGGAGUCCCAUGUGUAAUAGUGUUUUGUGUUUGUUUCAUUUUAGUUUUUCCCGAGUGGCCACAAUCGGCAGAUCAGGGAAUGACCCAGAUUGGGUCUAGCCCCAGCCACCCGCCGCCUCCCCCACAGGACGCCAGCGAGGCCUACCCUCUGGAGAUGCUAUGCAGAUGAAAUGCAAAGCAGGCCGAGAUGUCUGUGGGGAUUGGCUGGUACCGAAGACCUUGUGGCCCAAUCCUGGGCCGUUGAAGGCCUGAGCUUCCCUACCCAACCACCCCCAGCCCCGGCCUUGUCUGGCCGAUAAAUCAGCUCAGUCAUCGUUAAUGGCUCCUGACUAAUUGCCUGGACUUGGGCUCCAGGGCUCGGGUCGCCCACAUUAAAAUUCAAUCAGGCC